GACGAACGCUGGCGGCGUGCUUAACACAUGCAAGUCGAACGGAAAGGCCCCCUUGUGGGGUGCUCGAGUGGCGAACGGGUGAGUAACACGUGAGUAACCUACCCUUGACUUUGGGAUAACUUCAGGAAACUGGGGCUAAUACCGGAUAGGAGCUCCUGCUGCAUGGUGGGGGUUGGAAAGUUUCGGCGGUUGGGGAUGGACUCGCGGCUUAUCAGCUUGUUGGUGGGGUAGUGGCUCACCAAGGCUUUGACGGGUAGCCGGCCUGAGAGGGUGACCGGCCACAUUGGGACUGAGAUACGGCCCAGACUCCUACGGGAGGCAGCAGUGGGGAAUAUUGCACAAUGGGCGGAAGCCUGAUGCAGCAACGCCGCGUGCGGGAUGACGGCCUUCGGGUUGUAAACCGCUUUCGCCUGUGACGAAGCGUGAGUGACGGUAAUGGGUAAAGAAGCACCGGCUAACUACGUG
rnacentral:rRNA from 1 species